GACGAACGCUGGCGGCGUGCUUAACACAUGCAAGUCGAACGGAAAGGCCCUGCUUUUGUGGGGUGCUCGAGUGGCGAACGGGUGAGUAACACGUGAGUAACCUGCCCUUGACUUUGGGAUAACUUCAGGAAACUGGGGCUAAUACCGGAUAGGAGCUCCUGCUGCAUGGUGGGGGUUGGAAAGUUUCGGCGGUUGGGGAUGGACUCGCGGCUUAUCAGCUUGUUGGUGGGGUAGUGGCUUACCAAGGGUUUGACGGGUAGCCGGCCUGAGAGGGUGACCGGCCACAAUGGGACUGAGAUACGCACCAGACGCCUACGGGAGGCAGCAGUGGGGAAUAUUGCACAAUGGGCGGAAGCCUGAUGCAGCAACGCCGCGUGCGGGAUGACGGCCUUCGGGUUGUAAACCGCUUUCGCCUGUGACGAAGCGUGAGUGACGGUAAUGGGUAAAGAAGCACCGGCUAACUACGUG
rnacentral:rRNA from 1 species